AGUGUGAUGCAAACUUUACGAGAUGAUGGCCAAGGGUUGAUGAAAUUUUCUAGUUCUAAUUGGUGCAGAUUAAUAUCCUCUAGGUUCAAUCCGGUAGCUUGGAUUAUGUUAGGGUAGCUAGCUUUGGAUGAAUGAUAAAAAUGAGACUUUCGUUUCAAUUUUAGUUGGUUUGCAGUUUCUAUACCUCAAGUCCCCUUUCCCACCUUCCCUCAACACCAUUUUUACCCAUUUUAUCCUCUGAAUGUAAAGACAGGAUGUCCUUGCUUAUCUUAAGGCUCAGUUUGAUCUUGAGAGACCAAACAAGGAGGUAUUGCUUGAUUUGCAGUUGCUAAGGAAGUUUAAGAUGCAUGCGUAUCAUGGGAAUUGCAUCUUCCAUCUUUAUUCUUCAAUUCCCUCAACCAUUUGGAUCUAGUCCUCCUCAAGUUUUUGAGUUUGAUAUCUGUUAAGAUGCUGGAAUGGGUUACCUUUGAAGGAAUUUGAUCUGCUGGUGGGACUACUGAUUAUUGCCAAGUUAAACAAAAAACAGAGCAAUUUGUGGCUGUUUGAACUCUCAUGAUCCAAACUGUGCCGGAAGGAAGGGGGAGAGAUCUUUAUAACCUUGUUGGCGGAAAUUUAAACUCAGUUUGCGUCCUCACAAGCAACAGGAAUCCCCCUCUAACAUAGGCACGCCGACAAAGAUCAGAUGCCAGGGAUUGAUAACCUGUACACCCCUUUAGAAUCACAGCCCAAACUCAUGCUCGAGAUACCUCUGAUUGAGAUACAGAGAGCAGCUGACUUGGCAGCCACCGUUUGCUCUUUCUUUGAACUCUCACUCCAGUACUUUGAAACACUAAGAUCACAUCAGCUGCUUGAGCAAAUGGUGUGCACUCCUUCAAAGAUUCUGCUGAGACUCUAAAUCAGACCUCCUUUGGUGGUUUAAAACAGAUGACGAACAAAAUAAAAAAGCUGUACCUAACAAUAGCAUCCAUUUUGAAGCCUUUGCAAGGAGUUCAAUCUGAAACAACAGGUAUGGAUGUACGAGAGACAGGCUGUGUUGAGCAUGUAUACACCACCCUCUGCCAACCAGUCAUGGAGAAAAGCUCUAAGCAUGGGCAAUCACCUUAAAGGUCAUAAGGCGGUUGUAAGGGAAAUCAUCUUUUCCAUGCAGGAUAGCAUGACCCAUGAUCAUCAGGGGAUUGCCGGAGCCCCCACAAGGAUAUUGAAACACAUCGAAUGUACUUAUGUGGAACAUCCAAUAAUCUUCUGGAUAUAAGCAUAAAGGAGGGAGAGUGAAGGAAGAAUCCAAUCUUCAAUUGUUGCAAUAGUAUGCCAGAGAAACUUACUUACCAGCUGUGGUAAUUGGCACCUUUGAUGGAGGUGAUGCUCGUGAAUGAAUAUCUCAUGCAGAUAAUUUUGGAGUUCAACGUAUCCUUUUCUUCAUUCAGAAUCAAGGCAACACUUUUUGACCUCUAUGGUUACAGGUAUGGCACUUUAAGAGGUGCAGAAGAGUUAGUAGUCAUCACAUGGAAAGUUUAGAAUGUUCGUUGGAUCUUCAACCUUGCUGCUGGAAGGUCAAAAAAUCAACUACAACAAGAGUGGCAUACUCAGUGAAUACACAGGACCCAGGGAUUCUAUGGGGAAUAAGCCCAUUCAAAGAAAAGAAAAAAAAAAAUUUUGAACUCACUCCCCUUCCUUAUUGCUUAUUACUCCUUAUUGCAUAUUGCUCGUACACACUUCCCGGUAACCCUUUGGCUGAUUUUUCUUGGAUUAAUGCUGAUUUUCAAGGAAUAUUACUUGGAGCCUUUGUCUCUCUACCAGUGGUUCCGAUGAGAGGGUUUUGGUGGAGAAUCCUAUCGCAUCUGAACACUGUGCCCACUCUCUAAUCUCUACUCCCUGAUGGUUCUCAGCAGCUCUGAAGUAAUAUUUUGUUCUCUGUGCUUUUAAAUGGAUAAUGGGACCCUUUUCUCUAUAUUACUUAGUAUAAAUGAAAGGGAUAAUAGAGUUCAUGAGGUGAAAGCGGCUAGAUAUGUCCCUCUUGUUUCUCAAAAUUUAUUCUAGAUAGUUUUGUAUUUUGUGAAUCUAAUAUGUAUGAGUGCAGGAAUGUUAGAAGAGAUUUUGGAGGA